GAUGAACGCUAGCUACAGGCUUAACACAUGCAAGUCGAGGGGGAACGACAUCGAAAGCUUGCUUUUGGUGGGCGUCGACCGGCGCACGGGUGAGUAACGCGUAUCCAACCUGCCCACCACUUGGGGAUAACCUUGCGAAAGUAAGACUAAUACCCAAUGAUAUCCCACGAAGGCAUCCGAAUGGGAUUAAAGAUUUAUCGGUGAUGGAUGGGGAUGCGCCUGAUUAGCUUGUUGGCGGGGUAACGGCCCACCAAGGCUACGAUCAGUAGGGGUUCUGAGAGGAAGGUCCCCCACAUUGGAACUGAGACACGGUCCAAACUCCUACGGGAGGCAGCAGUGAGGAAUAUUGGUCAAUGGGCGAGAGCCUGAACCAGCCAAGUAGCGUGUGGGACGAAUGCCCUAUGGGUUGUAAACCACUUUUGCAGGAGGGUAAAAUGCUUCACGUGUGGAGUAUUGCAAGUAUCCUGCGAAUAAGGACCGGCUAAAUUCCGUG
rnacentral:rRNA from 1 species